UUCCUUAUUUUGUAUGCAACUCAAAAGUUUUUUCCAUUAAACUUUCAAGUGAGUACUUUUGCAGAUGCCAUUUUGUUUUAGACCUUUAGACGCGUUGAAGUUGCGAUUUGCACCGAUUUGGAAAUUUAAUCCGUGAGCGCAUUCCGGAAGGUCAAAUUGGCGUUAGAAUGUGGAUUUUCUCUUUAAGCGAGAUCCAGCAAGUCAGCCAUAGUCGACUCUGUUACCCCUGGCUCGCCCGGAAGAGGAUUUUCUUCAACUCGCAUGAUCUAUUUUGGAACACCUUUCCUCCUGAGGAAAACAUCAAGACAAUGUUGCCUAGUUCCGUGCCCUUCGACUGGUGGCCGAGGCAUCGGUGGAAACUGAAGGCGACUAAGCCAGUCACAUUUGGGUCAAUUCCAGCAUCCGGGAGAUGCUGAAUCAGCAGCUGCACCAGGGUAAGGACGCGGUUAAACAAUUCUUUCAAAACCAUGGCCAGGAGCUGACGAAGGCCGUUGAGACGUUCUAAGAUUUGCCGGACGGGUUUGAGUCGCCGCAGAAGGAUUGAAGCAACUGUCUUUUGUUAGCGCCAACAGUGGACAGGGAUAUUUUUCUGUUGCGAAUUCUAGCGACCCGACCGAAUGUAGGGACAGAUCUCCACAUAUUGCUGAACAACUGGGAAAAUAGCGGCCCUCGUUCCAGUCAUGAUAGCUGGAAGAAAGGAGCGAAUGUCGAUGCGAAAAUUGAAACUUGGCCCAGGCUAGCCAAUCACUUCUUGCUCUCGAAGGAUCGCAGCGGAAGGAUUCCCCUCAGAGAUGGUCCUCUUUGUGACACAGAGACACAGAGCAUUCCGCAGCAGCUCUGACUCCGAGAACCAUCCGCAGGUUGCUUGUACUAAGCCAUCAUUUAUAACACAGCAGAUAAACUUUGUCUUCCUGC